rnacentral:rRNA from 1 species
UUAUUAAUAACCCCAAAAACACUCAAUAUUAAUUAAACAAACCAUUUUUCCCCCCAAGUAUGGGCGACAGAAAAGGAACAUUCAGAGCAAUAGAAAAAGUACCGCAAGGGAAUGCUGAAAAAGAAGUGAAACAACUCAGUAAAGUUUAAAAAAGCAAAGAUUCACCCUUGUACCUUUUGCAUCAUGAUUUAGUCAGUAAAAACAAGCAAAAGGCACUUUAGUUUGAUUUCCCGAAACUAAGUGAGCUACUCCAAGACAGCCUAAAAUAGGGCUAACCCGUCUCUGUGGCAAAAGAGUGGGAUGAGCUUAGAGUAGAGGUGAUAAACCUACCGAACUUAGUUAUAGCUGGUUGCCUGAGAAAUGAAUACAAGUUCAGCUUUUUGGUUUCUCCCUCCAACCUGCUUAACUAUAAACGAACCAAAGAAUCCAAAAAAGUUAAUUAAAGGGGGUACAGCUCCUUUAAACAAGAUACAACUUCACCAGCCGGGUAAAGAUCAUAUACAAUCAAGGUAAAAUGUUUUAGUGGGCCUAAAAGCAGCCACCUAUAAGAAAGCGUCAAAGCUCCUUCAUAUCACCCCCCCCC